rnacentral:rRNA from 1 species
UACGUAGGGUGCGAGCGUUAAUCGGAAUUACUGGGCGUAAAGCGUGCGCAGGCGGUAAGUUAAGUCUGAUGUGAAAGCCCCCGGCUCAACUGGGGAGGGUCAUUCGAUACUGAUCGACUCGAAGGCAGGAGAGGGUAGUGGAAUUCCCGGUGUAGUGGUGAAAUGCGUAGAUAUCGGGAGGAACACCAGUGGCGAAGGCGACUACCUGGCCUGUUCUUGACGCUGAGGCGCGAAAGCUAGGGGAGCAAACGGG